AUGAAGUCAUAAUGAGGUCUGACGUGAUGACAGUUGCUCCGCCCUGAUUGAUCCAUAUAAGGAAAUGGUGCUCAAAAUAACUAUUUACCGAUAUUGGCAACAAUUUAUAAUAAACAACAAUAUCUUCAUGUUUAAAUAGAAAAUAAUUAGUGAUUUUCUCGUUUAUAAAAUAGCAUGUCUUUAAAAUAGUUCUCUUUUUAAUGUGUCGUUUGUCUGCAUUCGGCUUCAGACAAGCGCUUGCACUCGGUGACACGGAAUGUUGUUUACAUCUAAAAACGUGGCGACAUCAGCUGAGAUUUGCAGUGGAUUUAAAUGCAAUAACCACACAAUCCUUACAGAAAAUAGGGAUAAAAUAAGAGACAAGGCAUUGCUUCUCCAUUUUACAAGAAUAUGAGGACAUUAUUUUGGAAAAUAGCAGAAAACUGAGACGAUUUGCACCAGCUCUAGCCUAGAUCAAUCACUGCACUGUAAUUCCAGGCCAGCUGUCCAGAGUUUCAGGCUUAAAGAGUGAAUAAAUAAAAAAUGCAUCAUUUCUCCACAGGGCCUAGCUAUUCCCAGAUGUUGGACAAAUGGAUUCAAUCAGGCAGCAAGUUAAUCCAUCAUUUAAGGAAAAUGGCAAGUUAAGCAACGGCGAGCCUGUGUAACCUUUGGAUGGGUGACCGCUUCACGUUACACAUAAUUCAUUUUAUCCACAAGAACAUGAGGUGAUAGAAAUAAUUUGCACCUGGCCAGCAUUCCUACAGUCUGUCACUGGAUUUGAAAAGAAAUGUUUAUUAAAUAAAUUUUCUAGAUGAAUAAUAAUUUGACUUUUUCAUAUAUUUACUGUACAGGUGUUGAAAAGGCCAUUAAGAUAUGAAAAUCUUAACUUUCUUACUAUUUUGUGUGGAGGGUACUAAUGAUCAUCAAGAUCUUAUUUCCAGCAUGUGCAUUGUGCUCAUUUAUCUUUCAUAAUAUUACCAAAAAAAGGAGACUAGAGAUCCCCCUAAUUGAUUCAAAAUAGGAUAGGGGACCACCAUUUGUUCUGAGGGAAGGGGGGGGGGGAGGAGGCGAGUUUUUCCAAGUCAGAUUUUUUUUUUUCAUUUUCAUGUCAAUGAAGGACAGAUUAAUAUUUAUUUCCAAUCAAUAAGAUGAAGGACAGAUUAUUUAUUUAUUUUCCUCUUCAUUAAAAAUACUACAUGCAAAAAAAAUGUAAAAAAAAAACUCUGAUUCGUGGGAGGGGGAGAUCACUGAUCUGCAAGUAUUUAUUUUUAAAAUCUGCCAGUCCCUCACCCUCAAAAUAAAAUAGCUGUCCCCUUAACAAAUACAGGAGUAUACCCCAUUUCUUUCUAAUUAGUACCUUAAACUUAUAACUUAGUUUAUAUCCCUUAAUGAACAGUAAGCGGUCUGAUUGAAAGCGAUCGUAGAACAUGACCUCGUAUGCAGAAAGAAAUAAUAUUAACACAAGUGUGUGUACCAUAGGCGUCGGAAGCAAAAUGAAAG